rnacentral:rRNA from 1 species
CCCAGUUCGGACUGUAGUCUGCAACCCGACUACACGAAGCUGGAAUCGCUAGUAAUCGCGGAUCAGCAUGCCGCGGUGAAUACGUUCCCGGGUCUUGUACACACCGCCCGUCACACCAUGGGAGCCGGAAAUGCCCGAAGUCUGUGACCGAACCGAAAGGAAGGAGCAGCCGAAGGCAGGUCGGAUGACUGGGGUGAAGUCGUAACAAGGUAAC